rnacentral:rRNA from 1 species
UUAAAGUUGUUGCAGUUAAAAAGCUCGUAGUUGAACCUUGGGCCUGGCUGGCCGGUCCGCCUCACCGCGUGCACUGGUCCGGCCGGGCCUUUCCUCCUGGGGAGCCGCAUGCCCUUCAUUGGGUGUGUCGGGGAACCAGGACUUUUACUUUGAAAAAAUUAGAGUGUUCAAAGCAGGCCUAUGCUCGAAUACAUUAGCAUGGAAUAAUA